rnacentral:lncRNA from 1 species
GGACUGGCUUCUGCACCAGAGACAAAAAGCUGAGCAGAACGCGCAGAGGAAGCCGUACAAAAGUAACCUAUUGCCGUGCUGUUUGGCUGCUCUUGGCUGUCGAUGACAAGUGGACUGGUGGUGUUAGGCAGCUCCCAGGGGGAGGAUCAGAAGUACUCUAUCUAUGACACCUUGUUUAAGGAAUCCCUGCACUGGGGGCAGGCAGGAGGAACUCUACUGUGGCCAUGCAGCGCUUCUUGCUUGUGCUUUACCAGG